ensembl:lncRNA MIRLET7BHG MIRLET7B host gene
CACUCUGUGGCGCAGUCGGGUCGCUAAGCGCAGGGAAGCCGGAGCCCGAAGGCAAGGAGAGACGCGGCGCGGGGCCGGGGAAGUGGGGCCUGGGCCGUGCGCUUCGCCCGCGGCAGUCCAGAGCCGUCCCACCCUGCGAAGAGUUGCGGGAACUGGCACCGCUCUGCCGUCCGCCGCUUCGACGCGGGAAGAGGGUGAGCGUUUGGAACCCAGGACUCAGACCGCUAGCUGAGGGCCUGUGCAGCUCUGGGCACGCGAGCGCGGCGCCGGCGGCGGCCAGGCACGGUCCUCCCGCAAGGGCAGGGCUGUCGACCUGUGCGCCCCAGGUCACGAUCGGGUUCACGGCGACUCCUGAGGACGAAUGUGGCCCCGUCCCAGAGCACCACCCGAGACAUCAGGAGCCCAUCGUGGGCUAGGGAAGAUCCUCCGGGACCUAACGGCCCAGGUCUUCCACCCUUGGCCACCUCCCCAGGUGAUGCCUGAAGCUCAAGGGACUGUGUCCACCCUCAGGCCCUGCCCGUGGCUCUGGAUCGGCGGUCCCCAUCAGAGGCCUGGGCUGAGUCCUCAGGGGUCGACGCAGGUCCUCUGGGCAGCAUGGGGUGGUGCCGGGUGGACCCCACGGUGGCCUGUGUUCGCCACGUGGCCGUGGGUCAGUUCCUCGCUGGAGGAGACCCUUCCCCAGACACCUGCCGGGCACCCAGCCAAACCCUUGAGGCCUGGGAAGGUCUCUGGAUGCCACCCUACACCCCGCCCAGACUCCUCUCCCUGUGGUUCCUGGACAGAACAUUCCGUCACCACGAAACGAAGUUUGCCCAGGCCCUGCCUUCACCCUGGGAAAACCCAGCCGGGCAUGGGAAGGAGGAAUGCUGCCCGCCUGCCCGCCCAGACCAGAGUCGCCCCACAUGCCAGGCCAGGCCCGCAUCCUCCUGGGGCACACGGGAGCCCCAGGCUUCCCGGCAGGAAAAGCCCCCCACCGCAGAAGGGCUGGUCUCUGGUGGGGAGUUGCUGCUGGGUGGGGUGACCACAGGGCGGGGUUCAGGCUGGGGUAUUUUUAAUGAUGUAGUUGCAUCUGGUCACCGCCCCCUGCCACCCCCGAUUCUUUCCUGCCCUCCCCACCUUGUGACCCAGACUGUGGCUUGAAUUAAGAAUGUUUUCAGAUAAGUACACGCCUUUGAGGUUAAAAGUAUGCCUAAUGAUUAAACACCAGACAGAGAUCCCCACAGGA